rnacentral:rRNA from 1 species
CAGUAGCCACGGUAAAACGUAGGUGGCAAGCGUUGUCCGGAAUUAUUGGGCGUAAAGGGCUCGCAGGCGGUUUCUUAAGUCUGAUGUGAAAGCCCCCGGCUCAACCGGGGAGGGUCAUUGGAAACUGGGAAACUUGAGUGCAGAAGAGGAGAGUGGAAUUCCACGUGUAGCGGUGAAAUGCGUAGAGAUGUGGAGGAACACCAGUGGCGAAGGCGACUCUCUGGUCUGUAACUGACGCUGAGGAGCGAAAGCGUGGGGAGCGAACAGGAUUAGAUACCCCCGUAGUCCCUGUCUCUUAUAC